ACACAUGUCAAUUUUAACAAC
rnacentral:snRNA from 1 species